AGGGGAAUAGUUCAAUGGCUAGAGCAGCGGUCUCCAAAACCGCAAAUGGGGGUUCGAGUCCCUCUUCCCCUGCUA
rnacentral:tRNA from 1 species